rnacentral:tRNA from 1 species
CAUUAAGAAGCUACACGGACAGCAUUAGCCUUUUAAGCUAAACACCGGUGACCACCAACCACCCUUAAUGA